AACAACAACACAGGAGCAACUGCAACUACACAGCAGAAACAAAAUCAAAAACAAGAAGUUGAUCAUUUUUCUGGAUGCAUACAGACACAGAAUUAUCACCUGGAGGAGAGAGGGUCCCAACCCGGGGGACAAAGCUCAUUAGUUGGCCUAGACUCACCCGCGAUGACGUAAUUAAAUGAUCGAAGCCAUGACGUCAAUGAUAAUAAGAUCCUAAGCAGCAGCGGAAAAUGCCGUUACGAUAUGGUCAAAUCUCCCUAAUGUAAUACAGCAAAAUAAACACUUGCAAUCAGUUCUCUCUGAUUAUGAUCUUAGUGAUCACUGCACAGAGAAAAAUACAAA